ACUUUGGUGCCUGAUUAAAGGGCUGUUUUGAUAGAACAGAUUAUGCUUGAUUGCCCGAGGUG
rnacentral:tRNA from 1 species